UCAAACUCAGAGAGAUCCACUUGCCUUUGCCUCCCAAGUACUAGGGUUAAAGGUGUGUGCCACCAUGCCCAGUUUAAAAAGAAUUCUUACAGCAAGAGAAACACACACAUUACGUGUUCCCAGUUAUGAAAGUAUCUAUAGUGAGAGCGGUUGCCAAGGAAGGGCUAGGGAGCCCAGAGUUUCAUGUCUACAAAGUUUUAGUUUGGGAAGAUCAAAAGGUUCUGGAGAUAAAUGUAAAUAUAUCAACGACACUGAAUUUACCCUUAAGAUAGUUAAAACUACAUUUUAUGUUAUGUAGACUUUAAACACAUAUUUUAUUGUGCUUAAAAUCAUAAACAAGAAAGCCUCUUUGGAAAAGGGGGUAAAAUUGAGCCAAAGGAACACCUUGACGCGGGCGCGUUCCUCCAAUUGCCCCUUGCGCGCUCGGAACUGAGUCUAUUAGCAUGUUCCUUCCCAUAGUGCUUUGCUGCAGUUUCCCCCACGUACACCUACUUAAAUUAAACAGUAAUCUCCCUCCUGGGCCUCACACAGAGAGCACCAUGAGAUUAUAUGAGGCGCUGUAACUUUCCCGCUAACAAUAACCGAAGGCUUUUCCAUCCGACUUGAACCCCCCUUUCUGAAAUAGGAGCCGCGCUUCCUAGCGACGAUGCGCAGGGGGCGGUGUUCUCCAGCUUUGCGCAGUGGCAGUAUCGUAGCCAAUGAGGUUUAUCCGAGGCGCGAUUAUUGCUAAUUGAAAACUUUUCCCAAUACCCCGCCGUGACGACUUGCAAUAUAGUCGGCAUUGGCAAUUUUUGACAGUCUCUACGGAGACUGAAUAACUGUGGUUCAAAGAAAAUAGGAAAAACUGUUUCAGCUUCUCUGCUCGGUGCUUGCUGACCCAGAGUUUGCAUUUGAAGUUGUAUUUUCCUGAAGUUUUGGAGAUAAACUCUAUCCUGGUCGGUCGUUCAUUUAAAAGAAAUCUCAGUUUUAUUGAGAGGGGUCUCUCACGUGGAUGGCUUAGAAUUCGCAGCAAUCCUGUCUCCGCCUCCGGAUCUCUCACUGUGUAUCCGGGACUAGCCUGAAACUCGCGGCAGUCCUCCUGCCUCCGCCUCCCGAGCGCUCGAGUUGCUAGGGUUACAGACGAGAGUCUUUAUGCCCCGCUCUCCCCACCACGGUCUGUUUCUGCAUCCGACCGCACGUCGGUCCCUUGGGCUUACCCGCUUUCUCCCACCGCGGUUGAGAGUCUCCACCCGGGCCAUCGCCAUGACGUCGCCUCGAUUUGCAUAAGCGUCGCCCCAGCAUCCCAAGCGGCGGCUGCGCUGUUUGUAAAUCACGAGCCUCCGGGCGCGAGAUAGCCCACCGGCCAGGAUCUGUCCGCGCGGACGCCGGAGGAGAAACUGCUGGGUCGGGGCCCGUCACGAGGCGGUCGCGCGCGGGCGGGAGCUCACCGUGACUGUGAUGGGCAUCGCCGGCCCUGGGAAGCUGAGCGGGGCCGGUCGCUCUCCAGCUUUGCGCAGUGGCAGUAUCGUAGCCAAUGAGGUUUAUCCGAGGCGCGAUUAUUGCUAAUUGAAAACUUUUCCCAAUACCCCGCCAUGACGACUUGAAAUAUAGUCGGCAUUGGCAAUUUUUGACAGUCUCUACGGAGACUGAAUAUUACGAGUCUGAAAAUUAGAUUGUUUUAUCCACCGACUUAGCGUGCACAGUUAGCGUUCUCAGUAAAAUUGUGUCUUUGCCU